rnacentral:rRNA from 1 species
GAUGAACGCUGGCGGCGUGCUUAACACAUGCAAGUCGAACGGAAAGGCCCAAUUUUGCUUGGGUACUCGAGUGGCGAACGGGUGUGUAACACGUGGGUGAUCUGCCCUGCACUUCGGGAUAAGCCUGGGAAACUGGGUCUAAUACCGGAUAGGACCACUUCUUGGAUGUUGUGUUGGAAAGUUUUUUCGGUGUGGGAUGAGCUCGCGGCCUAUCAGCUUGUUGGUGGGGUAGUGGCCUACCAAGGCGUCGACGGGUAGCCGGCCUGAGAGGGUGUACGGCCACAUUGGGACUGAGAUACGGCCCAGACUCCUACGGGAGGCAGCAGUGGGGAAUAUUGCACAAUGGGCGGAAGCCUGAUGCAGCGACGCCGCGUGGGGGAUGACGGCCUUCGGGUUGGAAACUCCUUUCGCUAGGGACGAAGCGUUUUGUGACGGUACCUGGAGAAGAAGCACCGGCUAACUACGUG